AUUGAACGCUGGCGGCAUGCCUUACACAUGCAAGUCGAACGGCAGCGGACCUUCGGGUGCCGGCGAGUGGCGAACGGGUGAGUAAUAUAUCGGAACGUACCUUUCAGUGGGGGAUAACGUAGCGAAAGUUACGCUAAUACCGCAUAUUCUGUGAGCAGGAAAGCAGGGGAUCGCAAGACCUUGCGCUGAUUGAGCGGCCGAUAUCAGAUUAGCUAGUUGGUGAGGUAAAGGCCCACCAAGGCGACGAUCAGUAGCGGGUCUGAGAGGAUGAUCCGCCACACUGGGACUGAGACACGGCCCAGACUCCUACGGGAGGCAGCAGUGGGGAAUUUUGGACAAUGGGGGCAACCCUGAUCCAGCCAUGCCGCGUGCGGGAAGAAGGCCUCGGUUGUAACCGCUUCGUACGGAAGAAAUACGCUCGGCGUAUAACCCUCGGGUGGAGUGACGGUACCGUAA
rnacentral:rRNA from 1 species